UGAGAGGAAGAGGAAGUGAAUAAAGCUGAUGCUAAAUAUACAGCACCCACGGAGGGCAGGGAUGUAGAUAGGUAGGACAGGAAAAAAUAAGAGCAUGCUUCUGCUAGAAACUAGUCAUUUUCUAACCUACCUAAAGAUAGGAAGCUAAGAGGAUAUCGGAAGCUAGGGCAUCCUUCAAAUUCGAAGGGCGGAUGCUUCUAGAGCCAGAAAGAGUCCCAGGCUUUCAGAUAUAGAGCGACUUGAAACGGACAAAAUGGAGUUGAGGUCCGGGGGCGUCCUAAAGGUCGUUUGGAGGUCUGGCGAGUCCCUGGUGUGCUCACUGGGGAAAGGUCAUGGCAAAGCCUAGCACCCCGAUCAGGAAGAGCUUUUGGCCCUCGAGGAGGCGUUAACCAUACUCAGGACGAAGAGGAUAGAAGGAUCUCCAAAAAGGAAACCAAGUGUAUCCACGCUGUUUCUAGCUGCUUUUUUCACUUUUUCAAGGUCAAAAUAAACUGCUUAAUUUCUUGUCA